UACGUAGGGUGCAAGCGUUAAUCGGAAUUACUGGGCGUAAAGCGUGCGCAGGCGGUGUUUUAAGUCAGUUGUGAAAUCCCCGGGCUCAACCUGGGAACUGCAUCUGUGACUGCAUCGCUGGAGUGCGGCAGAGGGGGAUGGAAUUCCGCGUGUAGCAGUGAAAUGCGUAGAUAUCGUUUGGAACGCCAAUGGUGAAAACAGACAGCUGGGAGUGUGCUGACGCUGAGACACGAAAGCCAGGGGGGCGAACGGG
rnacentral:rRNA from 1 species